rnacentral:pre_miRNA from 1 species
CCCACACCUAUAUGUGUAGGACCCCAAAUGAUCAUCAGUAAAUUUGGCACAGAUUUCUAGAAAAGUUAUCACAUGGGUGUCAAACUUGACUUUUUUAGAGAUCUGUGUCAAAUUUAAUGCUGAUCCUUUGCGGUCCUACACACAUGGGUGUGGG